UUUAUUUUAACUUUAUUGCUUUAUUUAAUUCAUAGUGAAUCUUUUCUUUUCAAGGCACAUUUUACGAUAUGGGAUAAGCUGUUGGGAAGAUCUCGGAAAAUGGUAACUGAAGAUCAAACUAAACCUACAGAGGAAAGUGCAUCGGCCUAGUAACUUCCUAAAAUUUAAAUAUGUAUAGUAAAUUAAAAUAAAAGUUUUCUAUGAAA